UAGUCCAUGCCCUAAACGAUGCUUACUCGAUGUUUGGGUUUAUCCUGAGCAUCCAAGGGAAACCGUUAAGUAAGCCACCUGGGGAGUACGUUCGCAAGAAUGAAACUCAAAGGAAUUGACGGGGGUCCGCACAAGCGGGGGAGCAUGUGGUUUAAUUCGAUGAUACGCGAGGAACCUUACCUGGGCUAGAAUGCUUUUGGACAGAUGCCGAAAGGUGUUUUUCUCUUCGGAGACCGAUUGCAAGGUGCUGCAUGGUUGUCGUCAGCUCGUGCCGUGAGGUGUUGGGUUAAGUCCCGCAACGAGCGCAACCCCUAUCCUUAGUUGCCAGCGAGUAAUGUCGGGGACUCUAGGGAAACUGCCUACGCAAGUAGUGAGGAAGGCGGGGAUGACGUCAAAUCAUCAUGGCCCUUACGCCCAGGGCUACACACAUGCUACAAUGGUUGAUACAGAGGGUAGCGACAUAGCGAUAUGAAGCCAGUCUCAAAAAGUCAAUCUCAGUUCGGAUUGG
rnacentral:rRNA from 1 species